UGUAUCGUGUUUCUGGUACGCCUGUAAACCUGACGCACAGCUACGUCCGCUAACAGCGAGGCAGGAUGAAGCCGCUUCUCUCUGGCCAGCUGUGAUGUUUUCCUGGUUCAUGCAGGACAAAGGAAACCCUGCGUUCAUCAGAGCUCGGUUUCUGACAACAGGAAACAGGUAAUCCGAUGAGUCGUCACAGCAGAUGGAAUGAAAACGAUUAAAAACAUCAUUCUGCUUUCCUCGAGCAAUUUCCCACGAGUCAAACAACCGCAGUGUUUUCAUUCAGGAGGAAACUAUUAUCUGAAAACAAUCCAGUUAAUGCAUCCAGUGUCUAAUCAGAGCCGUCAGGCUUCCCUCCACUCCGCUGACGGUGAUUUGAUUGGACUGGACCGUUCUCUCACUUCAUUACCAGCUGACAUGGAGGACGAGUUUCCACGACUCAGAUUAACAUCCUGAAGAACCAAAAUGUGCUGGUGGCAGAAAAUGACAGAGUCGGAGCAGAAAGACAUGAAACAGAAACAUGAUUUCUCCUGGCGGCGCUCCAGCUGCAGCUGUAAAUUAUAAAUCAAAAUCCUGGUUUUCAGAAGCUUCACAAACGAUGAUAAAAAGACAGGAGUGUAAAAACGAA